rnacentral:lncRNA from 1 species
AAAAAAUUAUCCAUUGAAGAAAUAAGACAUUAUCUUGAGUGCACAUCGUACUCCGAUUCAGAAGGUGAGGAUUUGAAUUGGAAGACGAUGAAGAAUAUGUCCAACCACCUCAAUCAAGUUCUUCUGAUUCUGAUGACUAUUCUGAUGUUUUUGACAAACCUGUUGAAAUGCCAGGAUGUAAUCAAGUGACUCAAUUCCCGUCUUCUAAGAAACAUAAAUCCACCGACUUAUUAGAAAAGUCAUUGUAUGUUGGCAAGGAUAACACAAUCUGGCACAAACAAAUAGGAAAUGGUGAAAUUUCAGCCUGUUUUAGCCAAGAAAACAUUUUGAAGGAAGUCUCAGUCCAUCAUCAUUUGCGAAACGUAACAUCAUUACAGAUAAAACAUUAUCAGCUUUUGAACUCUUGAUCGAUAAUUAUAUUAUUGAUCACAUUAUAAAAGGUACAAUAGUUGAGGCUCGUUCAAAGCUUAAGAAUGAUGUAUGGACAAGCGGAAAAUGAGAUAUACUCCAAUUGAUUGCAAUAAUGUAUGCGAGAGGAAUCUUAGCCAAAGGGCAGCCGACAGAAGUCAUUUGGUCAAGAAAAUUGGGGUUCAAUCUUUUUAGGAAUACUAUCCCUCGUGACAGAUAUAAGGAAUUAUUGAGAUAUAUCCGCUUUGAUAUUCGUUCCACAAGAUCACAAAGACUUCAAAACGACAAGUUCGCCUUGAUUUCAAUGGUAUGGGGUCGAUUUGUCGAACAUUGUAAGUCAUCAUACAGGCCAGGUGAAAAUAUUACCGUUGAUGAGCAACUAUUCCCAAAAAAAGCUAAUAUAUCCCAAUAUAUGGCUAAAAAGCCUGAUAAAUUUGGAAUAACAUUUUGGUUAGCAGAUGAUGCAUCGUCCAAAUACUUGGUAAAUAGAUUUCCUUACUUGGGAAAAGAUUCUCAAAGACCAACAAAUAAAUCUUUAU